rnacentral:rRNA from 1 species
GAUGAACGCUGGCGGCGUGCCUAAUACAUGCAAGUCGAACGGAAAGGCGCUACACUUGUGGGGUGCACGAGUGGCGAACGGGUGUGUAACACGCGAGUAACCUGCCCUUAACUUACGGAUAACUCCACGAAACUGCGGCUAACACCGGAAAGGAUCUCCUGCAGCACGGCGGGGGUAGGAGAGUUUCGGCCGUAGGGGAUGGACUCGCGGCUUAUCAGCUUGUUGGGGGGGUAGUGACAUACCAAGGCUGUGACGGGUAGCCGGCGUGAGAGGGUGACCGGGCACCUUAGGACUGAGAUACGGCCCAGUCGGCAACGGGAGGCAGCGGUGGAGAAGAUUACACAGUGGACGGGCGCCAGAUGCAGCAACCCCGGGUGCGUGAUAGCGGCCUGCGUGGGGUAAACAGAUUUCUCCUGAAAGGAACCGUGAGUGACGGUAAUGGGUAAAGAAGCACCGGCUAACUACGUG